UACGUUUUUGCAGUCUUGAGAGCAUGCAAUGCACGGUAUGACUCAUGAGGGUUCCAAGAAGAGAUGGAGGAGGCUGGACCUGGUCGAUUUGCAGAGCGGCCCAUCAUACGUCACCAAGCGCAGGACACCCCAACCCACCUGGCAGCCUUGAUCCUCCAAGCAGUCUACGGAGAACAAGAUAUGGCUUUCAUUUUGCUUUUCAUUAACUGAGCUUAGGAUAAGUUAUUUUGUGUGCUUUUCUCAUUGAAGUAAUUUGUGUCUCUUUAUGUCAAGGUUUCUGGAUUCCGUGCCCCAUGACCAGGUAUGUCCAUGACAAGUUCAGGGUCUUUCAACAUGCCGUGGGACUGGUCAUCGCCAUCAACAACUUGACCAACAGCUGGAGCGUCAACGAGGCGGGAGCAAACGUCAAGCAUUUGCGGCACACAGUCUGCAACCUCUGGACUUAUGUGGCUAUUUUGAACUUUCCUCCACUUCUCACCAUGAAGGCUCUGAUGUGAAGCAGCAGAUCACAUCCCAACAGGAAACUAAAGUGUCUCAAGUCAAAGAGCUUCA